rnacentral:rRNA from 1 species
GAGCGCCCCGCAAGGGGAGCGGCAGACGGGAGAGUAACACGUGGGAACGUACCCUUCAGUUCGGAACAACCCAGGGAAACUUGGGCUAAUACCGAAUACGUCCGUAAGGAGAAAGAUUUAUCGCCGGGGGAUUGGCCCGCGUCUGAUUAGCUUGUUGGUGAGGUAAUGGCUCACCAAGGCGACGAUCAGUAGCUGGUCUGAGAGGAUGAUCAGCCACAUUGGGACUGAGACACGGCCCAAACUCCUACGGGAGGCAGCAGUGGGGAAUAUUGGACAAUGGGCGAAAGCCUGAUCCAGCCAUGCCGCGUGAGUGAUGAAGGCCUUAGGGUUGUAAAGCUCUUUUACCCGGGAAGAUAAUGACGGUACCGGGAGAAUAAGCCCCGGCUAACUUCGUGCCAGCAGCCGCGGUAAUACGAAGGGGGCUAGCGUUGUUCGGAAUUACUGGGCGUAAAGCGCACGUAGGCGGAUCCUUAAGUCAGGGGUGAAAUCCCGAGGCUCAACCUCGGAACUGCCUUUGAUACUGGGGAUAUCGAGUCCGGGAGAGGUGAGUGGAACUGCGAGUGUAGAGGUGAAAUUCGUAGAUAUUCGCAAGAACACCAGUGGCGAAGGCGGCUCACUGGCCCGGUACUGACGCUGAGGUGCGAAAGCGUGGGGA